rnacentral:tRNA from 1 species
UGACUUAGACGGUAAAGAAUCUGCCUGCAAUGCAGCAGACCCAGGUUCGAUCCCUGG